CUAUAAUAUGUCACCUGUCCAUUGAUAAUCCUCAAUCAGCAAUGAAUUGAUAUGAAAUGGAUCCCAUUUUCAGAACGUGAAGCUGAAGCCGGGCCAACGCAGAGCUGCGGAUCGUACACUCGCGACUGGGCUGCUGGAGCGGCCGGCGGCAGCAUGGAUGACAAACGUCAGCUCAGCAGCAUGAAAGUCACGCGGUUCGCUUUCCACGUCGGUGGCAGGGCUUACCUAGCGGACCGGUGGAGUGGCGGUGGUACGUGUAGCUCACCUGGGGCGGCGGUGGCAGCAUUCGCUGUAUCCGAUCAUCUCCCAGUCCAGAGGCCCCAUGCACGGCACCGGCCGGCGGCAUGGACCUGGUGCAAUUAGCCUAGCUCGGCCAGUCGGCCCAGCUUGUUCUCUCUCGGGCCGCGGGCCGACGUCGAGGAGCUCAGGCGGGCCAGUCACAUGCUGCAGCUACAGAACCGAGAUGGUGGACCUCGUCGCAACGCUGCGCGGGCCGCUGGACCACUCAGAGGAUGAACAGGGGGAACCCACCAGUCAUCUGCAAAACUACGGAUAGCCAGUCGGCCCUGUGCUCAAGACCGGCGACACAGCUCGAAGUUGCAGUGUGGAAGUCCCUGCUUAAGCGGGGAGAAAGAUGACCGGAUUCAAAUCGGCGGCCCCGGUGCGGGCUGUAGGGUAAUAAGCGUGCCCCAAGGAGGCGGCACAGUUACCGUGGUUAAACCGUGGUUAACAGUUACAGUUACCAGUUACAGUUAAUCGUGGAUUGUCACCCAAAGGUUAAUGGAGGCAUGGUGGCGUGACGGCGGACGGUCGGCGCGGCACCUUCUGUCACGGGAUUGACAGUGCUGCAUGGAGUGAACACUUCGGUGGAAAUAGAGUGCGGGUCGGGGUGAUGAAGUUCAUCAUUGAAAUAGUUGUGAGGAUCAUCAGAUGACAGACAAGAGCGGCAAGCGGGGAGGAAUUAUACCGGUGCUAGGUAAAGUUCGUUAUGAUCAAAGUGUAACUGAUAAUUGUACGAUCCAUUUGCUGUGCAACUGCUCAUUGUGACGUUCAUCCCCCCUCUCCUGUGGCCGUAUGUAUGAGAACGAUAGUUCCGGCGAUUUUUGACUAGCAUUCGUAACAUGAUGCAUGACGAUGUAUUUGUUUGGCGGGCUUUUCUGCACAUUAUACAUGACCUGUUGUCUUCCCCUACCGCGAUAUUACUGGUUACCGAUUCGCAUGCCAUGAAUUUCACGCAUCAGACCUCAAUUACUUUAUUGUGAACAUAAGUGACUACGAUUUGCGGGCAACACUUCUUUACAAUUACAAAUGCGGGCAACACUUCUUACAAUUACAAGUAUUUGUAUUUUGUAUGAUCAUUCAGAUCAUAAUGAUCAUUCAUAUUCGUGAUUGUGGUAACCUCGGUAAUUUGCCGUUUGUGAAACUGUUCGGCGCGGUGUAAGCUGACAUCUGCCGAGUUGAGCUCGGACCGAGCAUGUUAGUUCUGCGCUGUUGGUUGCUACUAUUGAUGUCAAUUAUAGAAAACCAGAGUACCGAUACCAAACAAAAUACCAACCAAAACCGUGAGAAAUAUCGAAACCGAACCAACCUAGGAACAUGAGGCAAAUACCAAAUUUAUACCAAUUUAUCUGCGUCAUAUAUUAGUAUGGGUUCAUAAUACCAACAAAAUAUCAAAUAUAGGGGGAUUGAAAUACCAAAUACCAAGUUGGUAUCGGUUUGGUAUCAGUAUACCAAAAUGUUGGUAUCCGAUUGACAUCUCUAGUUGCUACUCUGUGCUCGUGGUAAAUUCACAUUAUCAUUUAUACAGUUGAAUGACAGAUGAAGUUUCGUCUCGGCUUUGCGUGUGAUUGGUGAAAGUUUUUUUUCCGUUUGAAAUUGGUUAAUGUGCGUUUUGUGCGCAUAUUUUUUAACCGGACUUCUUGAAGUAUUGAGAUGAAUACACGAAGCACUGAGGGGGGAUGCAGAU
rnacentral:lncRNA from 1 species